rnacentral:rRNA from 1 species
AGGAAUAUUGGUCAAUGGCCGGAAGGCUGAACCAGCCAUGCCGCGUGAAGGUCAGUGCCCUAUGGGUUGUAAACUUCUUUUAUAUGGGAAUAAAGUUUUCCACGUGUGGAAUUUUGUAUGUACCAUAUGAAUAAGGAUCGGCUAACUCCGUGCAAGCAGCCGCGGUAAUACGGAGGAUCCGAGCGUUAUCCGGAUUUAUUGGGUUUAAAGGGAGCGUAGGUGGACAGUUAAGUCAGUUGUGAAAGUUUGCGGCUCAACCGUAAAAUUGCAGUUGAUACUGGCUGUCUUGAGUACAGUAGAGGUGGGCGGAAUUCGUGGUGUAGCGGUGAAAUGCUUAGAUAUCACGAAGAACUCCGAUUGCGAAGGCAGCUCACUGGACUGCAACUGACACUGAUGCUCGAAAGUGUGGGUAUCAAACAG